UCUUGGCAGGGUGCAAUGUGGUGUUCGGGAGGGUCCAUUCGCGCCUUGAGCUCUGGUGUCCAAGUCCCCCUGACCGGGGCCAUCGCCCGUUGAGGGUGCAAGGCCUGUUGGGCAGGGCUGUGUCUCCGAUCUCGGCGCGUCGGGUCCCUUCCUUGGAGUCGGGUUGCUUGAGAGUGCAGCCCAAAGUGGGUGGUAAACUCCACCUAAGGCUAAAUACUUUCCACGAGACCGAUAGCAAACAAGUACCGUGAGGGAAAGUUGCAAAGAACUUUGAAGAAAGAGUUCAAGAGUGCGUGAAACCGUUCGGAGGUAAACGGGUGGGAGCGCGAAGGUCCAACGGAUGGGGAGGGAUUCAACUUGGCGUGGCGGCUGGCCGAGCUUGGUUCGUGUCUGGGCGUGCGGGCCUCCCUUAACAGGGAGCUGCCUGCCGCCCCACAUUCCGCUCCGGCCGUAAUCCGCCGUGCCUUGUGCAUUUCCCUAUUCCCCCUCUCCUAAUAUGACGCCCCGACCGGCUAUCGAGGGGAGCCCUGCAUAUGGUUGGAGCAGUUAUGCGGAAGAGUAAGGGAUCAGUUGUAUGCGUCCGGUAGGUGUGUGUCGUUCCGCAGGCGGGUCGCUCCAUACGGAGGAGGAACUGUCCGAGCUGGACCCUUGGGGUCCAUCGUCCAUGUG
rnacentral:rRNA from 1 species